rnacentral:misc_RNA from 1 species
UCUCCGUUGGUGAACCAGCGGAGGGAUCGUUACAGGACUCGCAAGACUCCUUCACCCUGUGAACCUCACUACAAGCACGUUGCUUCGGCGGGUGUCCCGGCGGGGGUUUUCCCUCGCCGGGGCGCACAGCCCGCCGGCAGCCUACUAUACUCUGUCUCUUUGCGUUGGCAUCUCGAGAAUAAACAAACAAGUUAAAACUUUCAACAACGGAUCUCUUGGUUCUG